rnacentral:rRNA from 1 species
CGAACGCUGGCGGCGUGCUUACCACAUGCAAGUCGAACGGAAAGGCCCUGCUUUUGUGGGGUGCUCGAGUGGCGAACGGGUGAGUAACACGUGAGUAACCUGCCCUUGACUUUGGGAUAACUUCAGGAAACUGGGGCUAAUACCGGAUAGGAGCUCCUGCUGCAUGGUGGGGGUUGGAAAGUUUCGGCGGUUGGGGAUGGACUCGCGGCUUAUCAGCUUGUUAGUGGGGUAGUGGCUUACCAAGGCUUUGACGGGUAGCCGGCCUGAGAGGGUGACCGGCCACAUUGGGACUGAGAUACGGCCCAGACUCCUACGGGAGGCAGCAGUGGGGAAUAUUGCACAAUGGGCGGAAGCCAGAUGCAGCAACGCCGCGUGCGGGAUGACGGCCUUCGGGUUGUAAACCGCUUUCGCCUGUGACGAAGCGUGAGUGACGGUAAUGGGUAAAGAAGCACCGGCUAACUACGUG